AUUGAACGCUGGCGGCAGGCUUAACACAUGCAAGUCGAGCGGGGAAAGGUAGCUUGCUACCUGACCUAGCGGCGGACGGGUGAGUAAUGCUUAGGAAUCUGCCUAUUAGUGGGGGACAACAUUCCGAAAGGAAUGCUAAUACCGCAUACGCCCUACGGGGGAAAGCAGGGGAUCUUCGGACCUUGCGCUAAUAGAUGAGCCUAAGUCAGAUUAGCUAGUUGGUGGGGUAAAGGCCUACCAAGGAGAGGAUCUGUAGCGGGACUGAGAGGAUGCUCAGCCACACUGGGACUGAAACACGGCCCAGACUCCUACGGGAGGCAGAAGUGGGGAAUAUUGGACAAUGGGCGAAAGCCUGAUCCAGCCAUGCCGCGUGUGUGAAGAAGGCCUUUUGGUUGUAAAGCACUUUAAGCGAGGAGGAGGCUACUUGGAUUAAUACUCUAGGAUAGUGGACGUUACUCGCAGAAUAAGCACCGGCUAACUCUGUGCCAGCCGCCGCCGUAACAC
rnacentral:rRNA from 1 species